UCACUAACAUUCUUCCUCUUGCUGCCUUUGGUCGUUGUGACGUCACGCAAUACAAUAAGUUGUCGUGCAGUAAGAGUGUUAUCCCGGACGACCAUAUAUGUUAAUACUGUGAAGUUGUUUGGUGUUGAUGUGUCAUGGCCGCCAGUGAUGGUGUGUGACGUACGGGGAGUCAGUAUGUGGUGAUGAUGCAAGACACUUCAGGAACUUUUUCAAUCCCAAAUUAAGACUCAUGAUUCAGGGAAGUACAUCACGUCCUAUUAUGCAGCCUCAGACUCUUCAGGAGCUGUGUCUGGAUGAGGCUUGCUUGAUACCCACAGACUCCUACACAAGACUACCAUGGACUUUAAAGGACCAGCUCUUAAAAAAAUUAACCAGAAGAGGCAAAUGCACUGAUGAUAUUUUUUCUUGGCUUAUUCAUUCACGUGUUACUGAACUUGAAUACCAUAUUCCAUGAAAAUGUCAAUUGUAGCAGCAUUAUUUACAAAAACAUGUUGAAUGGCUUGCAAUUCUGAGAAAGAGCAUCCUUUGCACAAAGAAGCCAUCUUGCAACUGACAAAUUUCAAUUCAAAAGCCUGAGCAUGCACUGGAGUAUAACAUGACACCGAGACUUUCGCUGAUUGGCUGGACAUAAUAAUGAAAUUUGCAUGCCUGUUUAAUCUCAGAUGCUGGGGUGGAGUACCUGAAGACAACAAAGUGUUUGAAAGUUUUGUAUAUGCCUGAACCACCAGUUGUUGAGAACAAUAAUUUUUCAGAGAAUUCACUGAUGGGACUAGGUGAAGGAAAAUCAAUGUUAAGAGUGGUUGCACUUAAUGGUCUUUGUGGAGUGACAGAUGGUGUCAUUGGAUCACUGGUAGGAGGAUGUCCUCAGCUGCAGGAAGUACACAUCUCAUCCACAAGUAUUACCAACCAUGCUCUUACUGCUCUAGCAAAUCUAACACAGCUUGUCUGCUUGAAUAUUGGCAAAACACAGGUAUAGUAUUGGUAUGAGCAUUUGCUGGUAGUCUGUCCUGUCAAAAGAACAUCCUGCUUAAGUUCUUUUGGGUGCAUUGCAACAAACCAUAUUUAAGUUCUUUAUACACAGUUGAACAACAUAAAUUUUUUCCUAGGCCAGGAGGAUCAGCAAUUCCAUUGUUGGCUGUGGAUAUCUGUCUUUCUAUUUACUUCACUCCAACUUCUGAUGGGGUGGAGUAAGAGGUACUGAAAUGUAGAAUAUAUAAUCAUAGUACUGUACUGUAUUUUAUUUUCUACAAAUUUUUAUGCUAUAACUGUUCCUUCAGUUCUUGUAAAGACAAUUAGAUUAUUAUUCAGUCUAUUUUGUGGAAUAAUUUCAUAUGUACUGUGAUACUGUUCAUUUAUUGUAUACUCCUGCUCAUGAUAUUUACUGUCCUUUGAUUGCCUUGAAAUGUACCAGAAAUAUUCUAAGUAACAUCCAUUUAGAUUUAUUUUAUUUCUUGUUACCCAUGGAGAUAAGGUGUGCAGUUAGCAACUACUGUAAAUUAGUACUUAACUAUUGUAGUUUAGUACCUAACUUCAAGAAAAUCCCCAAUGUAUUCCUAAAACAAGUGAAAUCAGUUCAGUGACAAGAAAUAAUAUUGUCUUUACAAGAACUGAAGGAACAGUUAAAGCAUAAAAAAUGAU